UGCCAAGCCUGUGAGAAAAACCCUGAGACACCCAGAUGAAAUAUACAUGUGACUGACUCAAAAUCACAGACCAUACAUGUCCUUGUUGUUACUGCGUCGAACCAUAGCCACACCGAAGAGAAGGAUCGGUUGAAGAUGUGAGCUCAGAAAAUCAUGAAGGUAAGACAGAAGAAGCAGUUCAGAUCCAGAAGAAGGCAAAAUGAAAAUAAACAGAUCCUUAAAUCACAGGCAAAAGAAAGGAAACAGAUGAGAAGAAGUGAACCCACUGGUAUUGGGCCCUGCAGGAUGGUUCCAAAAAG
rnacentral:lncRNA from 1 species